rnacentral:rRNA from 1 species
CCCGCACAAGCGGUGGAGCAUGUGGUUAAUUCGACGCAACGCGAAGAACCUUACCUGGGCUUGACAUCCCGAUCGCACCUUAUGGAAACAUAGGGGUCAGUUCGGCUGGAUCGGUGACAGGUGCUGCAUGGCUGUCGUCAGCUCGUGUCGUGAGAUGUUGGGUUAAGUCCCGCAACGAGCGCAACCCUUGUCCUUAGUUGCCAGCAUUCAGUUGGGCACUCUAAGGAGACUGCCGGUGUCAAACCGGAGGAAGGUGGGGAUGACGUCAAGUCCUCAUGGCCCUUAUGUCCAGGGCUACACACGUGCUACAAUGGCCGGUACAAAGGGGCGCAAGACCGCGAGGUGGAGCAAAUCCCAAAAAACCGGUCUCAGUUCGGAUUGGAGUCUGCAACUCGACUCCAUGAAGUUGGAAUCGCUAGUAAUCGCGUAUCAGCAUGACGCGGUGAAUACGUUCCCGGGCCUU